rnacentral:lncRNA from 1 species
CAAAAGUUCAGAUUUGGGUCAUUUUGGAAUCAGCCCAAAACAAUUUUGUUUAUCUGUUUUUGGAUCCCUGUAACAUUUAAUCCAUGAGUAUUUUGGAAACAGUUGCUAUAACAAACCUGUAGAGUAACUAUAGGAGAACAAUGUUUAUGAAAUGUAGCAGCCCUAAAACCAUAUGCAACUAGGAGAAAAAGGUGUUCAAAGUGGGACUGUCAGACUUCUGGAUUUUCAGACUUCGAAUAGUUGCCUAAUUCUGAAAUCAGUGUUUUUAGUGCCAUUUUGGGGCUGUGUGUUGCCUGUUCUAGGCAGCUUUGGACCAUGGUUGCUAUGGGAGAGUUGAAGAGCAUAUGUCAGUGAACAAAUUUUGUUAUGUGCAUUAGGCCUGAUCUGACCCAGAACAUGGAGUAAAAGUUACUCAAAAGUGGGCUGUCAGUGUUUACAUGGACUGAAUUUUGUUCAGUUAACAGACAACUGAAUUUCAGCGAUUGGUGCCCUAUUUAGAGCACUUGUGUGGCCAUUCCAUUAGGUCUUAAACUAUGAAUUAUAUAGAAACAUUGGAGAUCAUAAGUUAGUGAACAAGUUUCCUUAAAUAAGUUUGAUUUGGUGCUGCACAAAAUUUGGAGUAAAUUGUGCCCAAACUCUCUCUGUCUGGUGUUGAUUUCAGUUUUUGUUUCAGCUAGCUGAACCUGAAUUCUUGUAUUUUCACACCAUUUUGGAGCACCAUAACUUUUGAUCCAUGAAUGUUUGACCUAAGGCUGCUGCAGCAAACAUUUAAAUCUAUGUGUUGGGAACAAUCUUUGUUAACUAAGAUUGGCAUGUAUUGCUUGCACUAGUGAGGAUCAAAGGGGUUAAAGGUAGGUCUUCAGUUGAUUAGUGCUGAAUUCUGUUUCAAGUGACUGGAAACUGGAUUCAGUUUUUGGGAGCAGAAAGCUCUGCACGCUGCAACCACUCGCCCAUUGUUUUAGUGAAUUGAAGUUGUGCUUUAAGAUGCGGAAGGCUGGUAGUUGAAAGGGGAAUCCAAGCCAAUCCAGUAACUGGGCGUGUGGGGCUGAAUUUGUUUCAGUUUGGACAGCAAGGGGGAGGGGGUCGGCAUGCUCAAACUGCACAAAUUUGUGCUGUCAGGCAAAAGAGCAUUGCAUGUUGUUCAGUAAUCCAGACUGAAUUUCAGUCAUGUUGCCUCAACUUUGAACUUCCUUUGGGACUAUUCUAUGCAGUUGUGAGACAUGCCUUGUGUAGCAAGGUUGGAGACCAAGUAUUAGUGAACAACUUUACUUAGAGGUGCUUAGCUUGGUGCUACACAAAGUUGGGAGUAAAUCUAUUCCAAAGUGCUUUCCGUCAGGUUCUUGUUUUCAGUUAACUGAAAACGAUAUUCAGUGGAUUGGGUUCACUUUGAGCAUUUGUAACUUUUGUUCUGUGUGAGCUAGACUUUGGAUUGUUGUAGUAACCUGAUAGUGCUAUGGUUGGGGAGCAUUUUUGGCCAACUGGGUUGGUCUGGUGUCAUUGAAAUUUGUGAGAAAAUGAGGAUUAACAGGAAGGGUGCAGUGUGGCCUAAGGUUUAGAUUCAGAGAACUGAACUUUGUUCAGUUGACGUGGGUGCAAUGAGUUUUAUUCGGUCUUUGGAGCUGUUUUGUGACUGAUUCAUGGUGUUAUGGCCUACAGCCCGUACAACAAUUAGUUAGAGGAUAAUAUGGUAAACAAUUGGUGUUAAAGUUGAUCCCUUUGUUACCACUUGAAGUAGUGAGAUUUUGGUAGGAUAACAGUAGAGGUUCAGUCUAGGUGGCUGAAACCGUGGUUCAGUCUGUUCGAAUUCAGUUUGGAGAGCUGGAGUUCAUGGUGUUUUAAGCUCCUCACUCCCUAUGUUUAGCUGGGGCUUUGUAACUGUGGUUGGAUGGCGUAUGACAGUGAACCAACAUAGGUAAGGGAAGGACUCGUUGUAGAUAACAGAAGUGGGCAAAAGUUGAUGCAAAAUGGAUAGAGUUAAGCGGUGGCCCACCUGUUAUGCGUCUGUCUGUUCUGUCCUAAUAAGACCGUCGCCACCUGAAUUCGCCGUAUGCCCAUGCAUGGCCACGCAGCUGCUUGCCUCUUGCGAUGGCUUGUGACGUGUCGUGAGUUGGGAAAUAUCUUCAUCCGGAUAGGCUAGAUGGAGUGCGUUCUCUGUUUUUCCUUUGUCUAACACCGCCGUUGAGCUUCUUGCGUUUCCUGGCUGAGAGUUCAUCCUGCUCACCGUGUUGAAGCGCAGCCCUUUUUUUUCGUGCGUUGCACGGAGUCGCCGCGCUUGCAGCCCCGUUCGCGGCACCACGCUUAGCCCCAGCAGCUUCUUCCGUGCGUCGUCUUGUUUUGCUUCGCAUUGCCGGCUUUCUUGCCUCCAGCAGCGAACGCACUGCCAUCCUUGCUUGGCCUCACAUCCUCCGCAGCUGGGCGUCACCAGGACGCUAUGCACGCUGCUCCCGCAUCUGGAGCUCGCCCACCCUACUCGCUCAUCGUCUGACCAUGCGCACUCGCUGUCGGUCGCGCUCGGCUGCUCGUCGUUGUCCUGCCUCCUCGUCCACGCCGCAGUCGUCAUCGACCCUCUCCAACCUCGUCUGCGUUGCGACCUCCAUCCUGCCUGCUCGCGGUUUCCCCCUCUGCUCAAACGUCGGCGCCCGUGGUGAAGGUAGACAGCCGCUCUAGCGUUUGGAUUUAUGGGUAGGUUUACUGUGUCUAAAACAGUGCUGAGUAAAAGUUUUAGUGUAUUUAGAGUUGGUUUGUCUAGAGAACAUUGAAAUAGCUAAAAGAGGAAAUAUAAAAGCCACACAAGUAGUGUUAAUAUAUGUUGUAGCGAAGUUAGACCCUAUAAAUUGUUGGGUAGCAAAUUUAAUGAACCUUAGUAUGUUUAGUACUCUAGUUUGUCUAACUAAAUUCAGUUUAGACCUUUAGAUAAAAUAUUAAGUUAAGUAUGGGUAAGCUUGUCAUGCGCUUAGUUAGAGGUGUUUAUAUUCCCCACCUCUCCUUUAUGAGAGUUUGCAUUUCAUAUCAUUACAUAAGCAUCCAUGUAUCUGUAAUUGACUUGUAGAACACCUAGAAGAAGUGGUGUUUGAACAAGAAGUCUACUCCAGUGCCUGUUCAUCAAGUGGAUGGAGCCAUCUAACUGAUCAUCGUGUUAGAAGUAUCUAGAACCUCUUCUCUGCAACAAAGGCAAGCCCCGGUGCAUUUGCCCCUUCCUUGUGUUUUAAAUGCUUUUUCACCUUAUCUGAUGCAUUAGGUGAUAGGAGUUGUGUGAUGAAAAAUUGAUGCAUUACCAUUCCUUGGAAACUCCUUAAUCCCUGUUUUAUAAAGAGAACUGAUAUUGCUUAGCCCUGCUUAAAAACUGAAAAAUCAUUUGUUUUUAAAAAGAAUGAUUGUGGAACAUUGGUUAUGGGCUUUUUAUUCAAAAAUCAAAGGAAACUAAGGUGAUGACUCCACUUCGGCCGGAGUGGGCUCAUCAUUGGAAAAGAGUACCCCUGCCGGGUACCAAAAAUGGGGAAAUGAUUAAUAAAUCUAGACCAGGCGCUGAGCAGACAGAGUCGCCCGUCUGUGUCGAUUAAGGACCGUACCGUUGACUGGCCUGUUGUGGUUGAGACUUUGCAACUAGCCACAUACCCUGGUAUGGGACAGGGUAAGCUUGAACCCGGCUAUUCCAUACGUGAAGAGACAAUCGCGCACUGGGAGUGGAGAGAUGGCGGGAGUAGCAUGUACCCUCCUGGCACAGCGCACGCCUGGUAGGUAAUGUGCUCUCGGGUGGCGCGGACCUGUUCAUGUAGUGGAGGACUCCGUGGGAACGGUUGACGUAUGCAAGGGUUAAGUGCUACAUAUGUCGUGUGGUUAGAGAUCCCCAGCUGGGUAUAAUCGGUUCGAAUCGUCGUUGCUCCUCGGUUAUGGAGACUCAUCCCGGUGACCAUCAUCGUAGUUAGCAAGUGAAAUAUGAGAAUGAAUAAAAUGCAGCUAGUAUAGGCCAAGUGCUUGAAAUAGACUAGGCAAAUAUAGAUGCAGGUAAUAACCUAACUAGUGAAAUAAAACUUGGCUUAAGGAUCAACUGGUAGCAAGCUUUUCUGCAAAAGGAGUCUUUGAUCAUUGAUAAACCUUACCUUGAUUCCCAAUCAACUAGCAUACCCUUGAGAGUCUUUUCUUUAGUCGGGUAAGUCUUGCUGAGUAAUUGCAUACUCAGGGUUUUAUCCCCUGUUGUUUUUGCAGGAGAAGUUUUAUUUCCUUAUCUUUUGGUUAGUUACUUCAUGUGGAGGCCUUGAAGCUUAGAAUGUUUAUGUGUAUCUCUUAUGGAAAGGCUUCACCGUUCCAAUUAUUGUAAUAAGUUAUGCACUUUGGGUACUAUCAGGACUUGUAAUAAAUACAUCUCUUUCUACCUUGUAAAACUUGAGUUCUGGAAUGUAAAGUGUACUUUGUAAAAGCCUUCCGCUCUAUCUCCAAUGUGUGUGUAUCAAAUGUGAUUACUGUAAUAUACCUGUUAUGUGGGAGAUCCUUGGGAUGAUGAGUUCCAGUUGGCGAACUCGAUAGCCUUGUUAAGUUACCCGGUACACGUGCACAGCCACCCGAGGCCAUUAAGGCAAGGAUUGGUGCACGUGGGCCCGAUAACUUGGGAGGGCUGUCACAGCGUGGUAUCGGAGCGAUCCCCCAUUAGCAUGGAUAUUAUAGUAAUCCUUUGAUAAACUUCAAAAUGAUUUUGAGUCUAAAUGGUUUUUAUAAACUUAAGAAUCUAUAAUCAAGGCCUGAUAGUAGAAGUGUAAAAAAAAUAUGUGGUUAAAACUAAGGACUAUCAGGUGGCUUAGUUUAAGAUGCUAACCACUAACCCACAACCUGGGAAGGGUAAUGCAUACAUGUGUAAUGUUAUUUUUAGUACCAUUCAGUUUUGAAUGGAUCGACGCUCAGGUAAAGGUGAGUUGUGAGAGCAUGACCGAACAAACGUCGGUCUAGGGGAGUGCUUAAAUGUGGCACUAGACUAUAUACAUAUUCUACAUAUGUAUAUAUGAAGGUUGCAACGUGGAGUAAUUACUUUUCUAGGAUUCAAUACCCCAUGGAUGUGUAUGGGUAUACAAACAUGGGAGUGCUGAGAAGUGUAAUGCAUAGUUACCACAAUGGACUGCCCUGUGGUUAAAGUGUGGCAGCGGCGCCUAUGCGUGGCUCGGCGCUUAAUGAGGAGCUGGCGUCCAUAUAGAAAUAUAUGGAGUAUAAACUGUGACCAAAUGUGUGAAUUGCAUCAUGGGGUUUGGGCUGUAAUGGAAUUUUCUGCAGGUACACUGACUAAACUCUAGGAAAUUACGACUAGUUAACUCCGGACUGAGUAGGUAUGCCACCGCCAUAGAGCGUGCAAGCCACUAUAUGCUGGCAAGAUUGUGAGAACGAAUAGGACGGACGAGCAUGCAUCAUGACAUAUAACUUUAAGUUAAACCCCCCAUGUAGUAGGUUUAGUACGUGUUUCGUCUACCCUGUUCAUGCUACCUGUCUUUGCCUUUCUAUGCUACCUUUCCCUUUUUUUUAAAAGACUGGAAGCCAAGUUUAGUUGGUGGGCAGAAUACCUUGCGCUGUAGGCAGAAGGACGUUAAGUUCUUGGGUUGAGUUUCGUGUGGUAUUUCGGGCACAUCAUAUUUUGAAAGCCCUUAUGGAAAUAAAGUUCAAUGAGUUCUUAGGUCAGAAUGUAUGCAAAAAAGAGAGAGAGUAUAAUGGAGGAUUUUGAGAGGUUUACACACCUAUCCCAGUAUGGUUUGGAUUUUGUGGAUACUAGUGAGAGGAAAAGGUAAUACUUCCUAUGUGGUUUUAAUGUGAAGCUUCAGCUCCUGAUGACAACCAGUUCAACUGAAGGUUAUAAUAAGGUGGUUAGUCAAGCUGUUUUGGGAGAUAAUAAGGUUCGUCUGCAUCAAGAGUUUAAGUGAAAGAAGUAAAGAAUAUACCCGAUGUUAAGAAGUUUCUAGAGGUGUUCCCCAAGAAUCUGCUUGGUUUACCUCCGGAAAGGGUCGUGGAAUUUGCGAUCGAGUUGCAGUCCGGAACUCCAAUUACCCUAGAAGUAGUAAGAUGAACCAAGAUUUGGAAUAGAGAUUUUGGUGGACCUCUGUCUUAUAAGGCGCAGCUGCCAGAGAAUCUUUCAACAGUGCCCAACAUAUUCCACGUGUAUCAGUUGAAGAGGUUUCUUCGAGUCCCCGAACAUGUUCUUGAGAUUUCAAAUGUCAAUCUUCAAUCGAAUUUAACCUACUCGGAACAUUCCAUAAAGGUUUUGGAUCAAAAGGAUCGGGCCACUCGAAGAAAGUUAUCGAGUUUUACAAGAUACGGUGGAACCAAAACACACGGAAGAUCAAGCCACAUGAGAAUUGGAGGAGAAUCUAGAAAAGCAUGUUCCUGAGUUUCUAGUGUCUUGUAAACCUAGGUCUGGUGUGUUUCGUUCUUAAUGUAAACCAACAGAGGUAUGCCUCUUGUCUUUUAAAAGUAAUGGGGAAAUAAACCAGUGAUACACUUCCUUUUCCAUUACUUGGCUUAGAGUUUAAAUCUCGGGACGAGAUUCCUUUUUAGGGGGGAAGGAUGUAACACCCCUGGUGUUACGAUUACUAAAACUCUGACAUGUCAUCAUCAACAUUUGCAUUAACUUGCUUGAUACACCUAGAAUGCAUUCACUAGGUCAACAAUUUGCAAAAUUGGGAUGUUUUGUAUUGAGUGUAGGGCUUAGUGUUAGGGCUUUGAUGGUUUGGAAUCCAUAUUGUUCUAAGGGACAUUGUACCAAACUUGUGGAGCAACAUUUGGAGCACCAAUUUGAUUAAGCAACUUGGCCUCAGAAGCAUUUGGAACUUGGAGAAAAGGGCGAGGUUGUGUCGUUUCGAAGAGAGCAAGAGAAGUUCAGAGACCUUGUUUGAAAUCUAGUAUAAGCAAACAACUUUUAAACCAAGGGAAAUUUGGACAUGAGCUAUAUACACCAAAGUUUGGUUUGAGCUUAAGGUUAACCUUGUUUUUAGUAGGAUGCAAUAAAUUGAUGAAGCACUUGAAGCAGAUCAAGUCCAAUUUCAACUAUAAACUAGCCCAAAAGUGGAUUUUAAGAUUUAGCUAUGUUUUGCUAAAAGUCUGUAUAUAAAAGUCGUGGAGCUUGGAAAAGUGAAUAAUUUUCAUAUUUGGAGCUCUCCAAGUGGUGUGGGAGAAUUUGAAGUAAUUUGCAAAAGUUCAGAUUUGGGUCAUUUUGGAAUCAGCCCAAAACAAUUUUGUUUAUCUGUUUUUGGAUCCCUGUAACAUUUAAUCCAUGAGUAUUUUGGAAACAGUUGCUAUAACAAACCUGUAGAGUAACUAUAGGAGAACAAUGUUUAUGAAAUGUAGCAGCCCUAAAACCAUAUGCAACUAGGAGAAAAAGGUGUUCAAAGUGGGACUGUCAGACUUCUGGAUUUUCAGACUUCGAAUAGUUGCCUAAUUCUGAAAUCAGUGUUUUUAGUGCCAUUUUGGGGCUGUGUGUUGCCUGUUCUAGGCAGCUUUGGACCAUGGUUGCUAU